AUGAGAUUUGGUGGCCAGUAUAAGAGUUGCUCUUCCGCAGAAAAUAUUGUGGCCAGACUACAGUGGCUCCUUCACAGGCUUCUCGUGAAUGUGGACUUCUCUCUUUCUGGACCUGGACUGGUUUGGCUAAAGACACUGCUUCUGCGGACACUGGAGCAAUGCUGUUUUGGAUUUCUCCUGCUUCGACCCUGGACUUCGGCUGACACUUCUCUUCCUGCGACUCCUUUUGUUUACCAUUUGUAAACUGUGCCUUUUUGUUUUGCCUCAGAGCAUUUUGUUUGACUUGCUGCUCUUUGCAUCCAGUUAAUCUGGAUUAUAUUUCUGUUAAUCUUUUGGAUCAGGUCUGAUUUGGUUUUUUGAGUUUUUUGACCAGUGGAACUGCAUUUUAGUUUCUCUGCGUCCCUUUUCUUUUGUUUUAAUAAAUUCUGUUUUGAAGUCACUUUUAAGUCUGGCCCUUUAAGGCAUCUUUGAUUCCAACAAGAACAUUAAACAGGUGCAUUCCACAUUGAAAAACAGUCUAAACAAUCUGACAUAUUUCUUUUGUAAUAUUUCUUUUGUUAUUUUCAUGAUGAUACUAGUAGUUGAUGCAGCAAAAAUAGAAUCACCUACAGAUAAUAAUAGUAAUAAUAAUCAUAAUAAACAUAAUAAUCAUAAUCAUAAUAACUUUAUUUUUGUAUCCCACCUCCAUCUCCCCGAGGGCGGCAGAUGUGAGAGGAAUUAGCAGAGAUGGGACAAAUAAAUGUAACAUGGAUAUGACAAGGAUCUCCACACUUACAUAAUGAUUGAAGAUGUACAAUCCCUACAGAAUGGUGGCUUAUUGGGCAAAGGUGGAAUGACAUGUAAUAGAAUAAUGAAAGGAAUUGAGUAUCCUGUAAAAAUUAGCAUGAUUAACUUAUGGAGGAAAAGAAGAGAAGGGGAUGUCAGUGGUUGAAAAGCAGAAGGGAAAGAAUAAUUGAGAAAGAAAAGCCAAGAGAAAUGAAAAUCCGGUAGGUGGGUUUGAGGAUAAUACGUAAACAACUUCAAAGGGGUUCUGCAGUUCAUUGAAUAAUAUUAGUGUGUAUUACACAAUAAUAUAUAAUUGGAAUCAGUAAAACAUAUAAAGACGCCAGCUAUAGAUACAGGUGAAAUGUCAGGAGAGAAUGCUGCUGGAAAAUGGCCAUAAAGCCCCAAAAAUUCACAGCAAUUCAGACUCCAGCCAUGAAAACCUUCAACAAUACAAUUAUGAUUCUUUGAUUCUGUCUGUCUGUCUGUCUGUCUAUCAUUCUUAAUAUUUGUCACUUUGUCUGUCCAAAUAUACAUAAAACAUAUGCAAUAAAACUGAGUCCCAUCUUUACAGAGUUGUAAAUAUUUUAAGAGGAAACUUUGUUGCUAUAUGCUUACUUCUCAUAUUCUGCACGUUUAUAUAGCUGUCUCUUUCAGGAUAUCUGAAAGAUGACUUUGAAUUAUAUCUGGUUCUAAAAUAUGCAGGCAAAAGCUGCAUGAUAAAAAUGGUCUUAUCAAAAAGAUGUUGAACUUUACAUUUCCACAUCAUCAUUCAAUACCAAUGAAAAUUGCACAUUUAGGGAAAUGUGCUUCUCAAUUGUCUAUGUCUAAGUGGAAUGCAGUGAAAAUAGCUGUUGAAGGAGGGUAAUUAUGUUAAAAGUAUGGCAAGAGAAUGAUGUCCUUUCAUGAAAACUAAUCAGCACCUUGAAUGUGUCUAUUGAUACCGAAUGGUCAAGAACAAUCUGCUGAACCACUGGCCCGAAAUUACCAUUAACUUUGUCUUGUUCUCAAAGUAUUCAGUUUCUUUUCCAGCAGAUAUGCUCUAUAUUCUCUGUAUUGUUACUUGCAGAAUUGAACUGUACAGAUCCUCCUAUUUUCUAACACUUUGUUAGACAUCACUGUGAAAGAAACAGUGCUAAAUCGCACCAUUGCUGCCUCCCGCCCUCCCUCUUUCCUCAUUCAUACCUAUAGAGGGAAGUCAGAUGUAAUAUCUUUUAGAGCUAACUUUUGUACCACCUUCUCUUGGAGCUUGGAACAAGGAUUUUUUGGACUACAGUGGGUCCUGAGUUGGUAUGCACUAGGGUUUGGUUCUAGGAUCCCUUGUUGAUAAUGGGUAUCAACAUUCAUGAAUGCUCAAGCACCAUUAUAUACAAUGGUGUGGUGAAAAGGUGUCCUUUAAAUUCUUCAUUUCAUUUCCCUGAUUGGUUGCCUUGGAAACAGAACAGUUUUGUUGUAUCUGGGGACCCAGGUAUCUUGCCCAAGUUAGCUGAAUAGCCACUGGCUCAGCUUAUUACACACCAAGUUCAUACUCUUUAGAAAUAUUUUUCAGGUCACAAAAGCUUAAAUAGGUAACUUUAAUAUAAGCUUCCCAUAUUUAAUCCCAUACUGUUGUGUGGUUUCGUUAUUGUGGGGGUUGGUUGGCAAAAUUUUACAUUGACUUGUUUCAUCAAACCAUAAUGUACAGUAUGUGUAACUAAAACAGAAGGUC
ensembl:lncRNA